AUGAAGAUCCAAUAGCCCAUAUUCAUUCUAAUGGUGAUUAGGCUUGAUUUGGGCACUAUAGCAUGCGAUCAGAUAGCUCUGGUGUGAGUCAGUCAUGAUCGGAUGGUCCAAAAUUAUUUUAAGAUUUGAUUUGAGCUCGGUAUCCUAGUGAAACACUGGUUUGAGAUGUUUGGAGCCUAUAUAGCUUCGAUUGAUGAGCCAUUUAUUGCGUCAG
rnacentral:lncRNA from 1 species